CGGGGAAAUUGUCCAAGGAGCUGGGCAGCUGCGGUGGACGGUGUCACUGAGCCGCGCCAGCUGGGCCGGUUGCAGCCGUGCUCCUCUUGCGUCCCUUCUCCAGGCCUCGCUCCUUCACCCAGCCUCCGGUCGACCCCUUUUCCACGUCCCCGGUGGACGCAGCCCUCCGCAGCCUCCACGCCCAUGGCCACUAGCCUGAGGAGGCCGUCUUUCACCACCGGUUCUUCCUCUCCUCCGGACGCGGACGACGAGGGCGUGCGCGGCACUUGGGAAGAUGCUUCUCUGUGCAAGCGGUACCUGCCCGGCGCGGGGUUAGGGGUCGGCUUCCCCUGGGUGCUGGGGCCUAGGUGACUAUCAGAUAUCCCAUGAUGACCAGGGGACUAUACAUUCUGGAAAAAGUGUAUUUAAAGGGCUGUCUCCAGGCACCUAUCUGAAGAAAACCAUGACUCAAAAAAAUACGUGUACCCCAGUGUUCACCACAGCACUAUAUACAAUAGCCAAGACAUGGAAGCAAUCUCAGUAUCCACCGAUGGAUGAGUGGAUAAAGAAGAUGUGGUACAUAUACACAAUGGAAUAUUAUUCAGCUGUUAAAAAAUGAAAUCAUGGCACUUGUAGCAACAUGGAUGGACCUAGAAAUUAUCAUGUGUUGUGAAUUUAGAUGGGGAGGCACAAACAUCACAUGCUAUCACUUAUGUGGAAUCUUAAAAAAGGAUGCAGUGAACUUACUUGCAGAAUAGAAAUGGAUUCAUAGACUUCGACAAACUUAGGGGGAGCUCGUUUGAUGGGGAUGUGGGUUCAAUCCCUGGCCUUCCUCAGUGGACUGGGAUCCGACGUUGCUGUGAGCUGUGGGGUAGGUCACAGAUGUGGCUCAGAUCUGCCAUUCUGUGGAUGUGGCAUAGGCUGGCAGCUGCAGCUCCUAUUCGACCCCUAGCCUAGUAACUUCCAUGUGCCAUGGGGGAGGCCCUAAAGAGACAAAAAAAAUAAAUUAAUUAAACUUGUGGUUACCA
rnacentral:lncRNA from 1 species